UACGUAGGGUGCAAGCGUUGUCCGGAAUUAUUGGGCGUAAAGGGCUCGUAGGCGGUCCGUCACGUCGGGAGUGAAAACUUGGGGCUCAACCCCAAGCUUGCUUUCGAUACGGGCGGACUAGAGGUAGGCAGGGGAGAACGGAAUUCCUGGUGUAGCGGUGGAAUGCGCAGAUAUCAGGAGGAACACCGGUGGCGAAGGCGGUUCUCUGGGCCUUACCUGACGCUGAGGAGCGAAAGCGUGGGGAGCGAACAGGAUUAGAUACCCUGGUAGUCCACGCCGUAAACGUUGGGCGCUAGGUGUGGGAUUCAUUCCACGAGUUCCGUGCCGCAGCUAACGCAUUAAGCGCCCCGCCUGGGGAGUACGGCCGCAAGGCUAAA
rnacentral:rRNA from 1 species